rnacentral:pre_miRNA from 1 species
GUUGAGGGGAAUGUUGUCUGGCUCGAGGUCACCAAUUAGAUCCAUAAGCCCCAUUCUAUGAAAAAGGGGUUAUGAAUCAUGAGUUAGUGUUGUCGGACCAGGCUUCAUUCCCCCCAAU